rnacentral:rRNA from 1 species
GAUGAACGCUGACAGAAUGCUUAACACAUGCAAGUCAACUUGAAUUUGGGUUUUAACUUAGGUUUGGGUGGCGGACGGGUGAGUAACGCGUAAAGAACUUGCCUCACAGCUAGGGACAACAUUUGGAAACGAAUGCUAAUACCUAAUAUUAUGAUAAUAGGGCAUCCUAUAAUUAUGAAAGCUAUAAGCGCUGUGAGAGAGCUUUGCGUCCCAUUAGCUAGUUGGAGAGGUAACGGCUCACCAAGGCGAUGAUGGGUAGCCGGCCUGAGAGGGUGAUCGGCCACAAGGGGACUGAGACACGGCCCUUACUCCUACGGGAGGCAGCAGUGGGGAAUAUUGGACAAUGGACCGAGAGUCUGAUCCAGCAAUUCUGUGUGCACGAUGAAGUUUUUCGGAAUGUAAAGUGCUUUCAGUUGGGAAGAAACAAAUGACGGUACCAACAGAAGAAGUGACGGCUAAAUACGUG